UACAGAGGGGGCAAGCGUUGUUCGGAAUUACUGGGCGUAAAGGGCGCGUAGGCGGCCGCCUAAGUCAGACGUGAAAUCCCCAGGCUCAACUUGGGAACUGCGUCCGAUACUGAUUGGCUUGAAUCCGGGAGAGGGAUGCAGAAUUCCAGGUGUAGCGGUGAAAUGCGUAGAUAUCUGGAGGAAUACCGGUGGCGAAGGCGGCAUCCUGGACCGGCAUUGACGCUGAUGAGCGAAAGCUAGGGGAGCAAACGGG
rnacentral:rRNA from 1 species